GCUGGGCAUGGUGGCUCAUGCCUGUAAUCCCAGCACUUGGGAGGCCAAGGCGGGUGGAUCACCUGAGGUCAGGAGUUCAAGACCAGCCUGACCAACAUGGUGAAACCUCGUCUCUA
rnacentral:SRP_RNA from 1 species